UUCAAUUAACCUACAACAAUUGCCUGAAACAGUGACUUGCAACAGAGCGCUCGUAAAAUUUAUGAUUCGUUAUCGAUGCGCAUAAAAUUGGUAUAUUGAUCAACGUUUAAAUACAUAGCAUGGGAAAUUAACGAUUCUAGAUCUUUGAAUUACCUACCGAUUAAUUUACACCAUAUCUACCAAUGUGUAACGGAGUUUAUAAAAGUUUGUCUAUUAAGGAAUGUGUUGUAACGGAACGAUAAUUUAGUGCCCACACGAAGCUUACGCAUCUUCUGUAAUUUAUUUUCAUUUAUGCUUCAAAAGAUCAUCGUAUAUGACCAUGUAUCGGUUACGUUGAUGAACUGUCCUGUGUUUCGGUCUUCAACAGCUGCAAUGAACUUUUUUUGGGAAGUAAACGAACAAAAAAAACAACAAAUUAGAUACCAAUCAUACCCAAUCUUAUCGAUUCGCGGUUGCAGUUUUCCUUCCCAAUUUAGGUGAAAAAUAGCGACGACGUAUGUUUGCAUUUACAGUUUCCGCAACGUUUACUACAUACAUCAUGCACAAUUUGAUUAGCUGUGGAGCAUAGUUUAUUGCUUACCUACUUUGGAAACCAAAACCUUUUAAGUAGUUAUUUUGGCUUUGAGCAAGUAAAAUAGCACCUGAUCAAAGUUAGACUUUAUGUUUUCACUCGUUUGGUUAAAGAAGCUUAGUGUUAAUUUCAUUGAUCAACCUAAACCAACCCUUGCAAACUUACCAGUAUUGAGUAUGGUAUGCUAGCGAAUGCAUAAAUUAAAAUUACCACUAAAAAUAGAUAGAGCAAAAGGUGUGCGCAUUUCCGUAUCAGGUAUAAAAACGUUUCUCCGACGAAAAGAAAAUGAUCGAUAACGAUAUACUUUAACCUGUCUUUAACAAAUAGCGUUUUGUCGCUUAUCUAGCAAAAUUGGUAAGAAGGUAGGCAAAGUGUCUGAGUAUAUGGGUGCAGUGUCGGAUUAAGCGUACCACCCUCGUGCGUAUGGCCUACUAUAACCAGAGGACUUCGAAAAAGAGGCAAUGGAUUAAAAACCAUUCCAUACAACUAUUUCAGCAGUGCUCCAACGAUCCCCUGAAAUUGGAACAAACAAGUAUGGGAGUUUCGAAGGUAGACGGGGAUGCGGAGACGUUUGCAUGAAGAGGAGGUGGAGUUUUAUGGUCCCAUUAUGUAUCUUCAUUUUUCGCAUGAUAAUGGAUGUGUGGCGAUUAUAUGCACUUUCCAACGACUCUAGAGUCCAUCAUACUUUCAUAAAAAAAGAAUCUUCACUGUCCAAAGGAAAUCUGAAAAAUAGAUGUAUUUCAAAAUUUUGUUUUACAUACUAUCGCUACGGCAAUGGAUCUGUAUCACAACCGUACCGUGAAAGAAGACUAUUUUAAGAAAUAAAACAUGGCUACCACCACCUAUGAAAUGUAAUUAAUUCUCGUUUCUUAUGUAGCUUUUGACUUUGUUAUAUUAUACGAUUUACAGUUAA